AAAAGGUCUCGUUGGUGACCAGCGGAGGGUCAUUACCGAGUUUACAACUCCCAAACCCAAUGUGAACGUUACCAAACUGUUGCCUCGGCGGGGUCACGCCCCGGGUGCGUAAAAGCCCCGGAACCAGGCGCCCGCCGGAGGAACCAACCAAACUCUUUCUGUAGUCCCCUCGCGGACGUAUUUCUUACAGCUCUGAGCAAAAAUUCAAAAUGAAUCAAAACUUUCAACAACGGAUCUCUUGGUUCUGGCAUCGAUGAAGAACGCAGCGAAAUGCGAUAAGUAAUGUGAAUUGCAGAAUUCAGUGAAUCAUCGAAUCUUUGAACGCACAUUGCGCCCGCCAGUAUUCUGGCGGGCAUGCCUGUCCGAGCGUCAUUUCAACCCUCGAACCCCUCCGGGGGAUCGGCGUUGGGGAUCGGGACCCCUCACCGGGUGCCGGCCCUGAAAUACAGUGGCGGUCUCGCCGCAGCCUCUCCUGCGCAGUAGUUUGCACAACUCGCACCGGGAGCGCGGCGCGUCCACGUCCGUAAAACACCCAACUUCUGAAAUGUUGACCUCGGAUCAGGUAGGAAUACCCGCUGAACUUAAGCUUAA
rnacentral:rRNA from 1 species